rnacentral:rRNA from 1 species
CUAAGUUUGAUGGCGACCGGCGCACGGGUGAGUAACACGUAUCCAACCUGCCGAUGACUCGGGGAUAGCCUUUCGAAAGAAAGAUUAAUACCCGAUGGCAUAGUUCUUCCGCANGGUAGAACUAUUAAAGAAUUUCGGUCAUCGAUGGGGAUGCGUUCCAUUAGGUUGUUGGCGGGGUAACGGCCCACCAAGCCUUCGAUGGAUAGGGGUUCUGAGAGGAAGGUCCCCCACAUUGGAACUGAGACACGGUCCAAACUCCUACGGGAGGCAGCAUG